AUUCCCUAGUACGGCGAGUGAAGCGGGAAGAGCUCAAAUUUGAAAUCUGGCAGUCUUCGAUUGUCCGAGUUGUAAUCUAUAGAGGCGUUUUCCGUGCCGGACCGUGUCCAAGUCUCCUGGAAAGGAGUAUCAAAGAGGGUGAUAAUCCCGUACUUAACACGACCACCGGUGCUCUGUGAUACGUCUUCUACGAGUCGAGUUGUUUGGGAAUGCAGCUCAAAAUGGGUGGUGAAUUCCAUCUAAAGCUAAAUAUUGGCGAGAGACCGAUAGCGAACAAGUACCGUGAGGGAAAGAUGAAAAGCACUUUGGAAAGAGAGUUAAACAGUACGUGAAAUUGUUGAAAGGGAAACGAUUGAAGUCAGUCGUGUUCUUUGGAUUCAGCCAGUUCUGCUGGUCUACUUCCUUGGAACGGGUCAACAUCAGUUUUGUCCGGUGGAUAAAGGUAGUAGGAAUGUGACUUCCCCGGAAGUGUUAUAGCCUAUUAUCACAUACACUGGGUGAGACUGAGGACUGCAGCUCGCCUUUAUGGCCGGUCUUCGGACACGUUCGAGCUUAGGAUGUUGACAUAAUGGCUUUAAACGACCCGUCUUGA
rnacentral:rRNA from 1 species